AAAAUUUCGCAUCAGAAAACACCAAUAGGUCAGAUUCACCUGUUUUGACACUUUCAGCAAAGAACUAAAAGUGCUUAGAUUGCUUAGAGUAAGCACACAGACUCAAUAGAAGGUACCCCUUAAGCUCUUAUUUCGCAGGUAGCAUAUGAGACUGGAAGAAGGACCUGCAAAAUUUGAGCUCAGAGAACGCCGGUCCUGUUUUAACACUUUCAGCAAAGAACUAAAAGUGCUUAGAUUGCUCAGGGUAAGCGCACACACUCAGUAAAACGUAGGUGGGUAGAAAUCCAGCGAACCGGUAGAAUGUAGGAAGGGAGUUGCCUCAGGACAGAAGCCGCCGAUAUUUCGAACAGAGACUGUUCUUCUUCUGAAGAAGAACAGUCUCAGCCCUUCCUACACUCAGUAAAACUUACCCCUUAAGCUCUUAUUUCGCAGGUAGCAUAUGAGACUGGAAGAAGGACUUGCAAAAUUUGGCCUCAGACAGCGCCAAUAGGACAGUUUUACCUGUUUUAACAUUUUCAGCAAAGAAAUAUAAAAUGCUUAGAUUGUUCAAUGUAAGCACGGACACUCAGUAGAAGGUACUCCUUAUUUCGCAUGUAGCAUGGGACUGCAAGAAAGAUCUUUAAAAUUUGGCCCGAGGGAACACCACUAGGUCAGCCUUUCAGCAAGACUUUCAGCAAGGUACUAAGAGUGCUUAGAUUGCUCAGAGUAAGCACACACACCCAGUAGAAGCUCUCUUAUUUCGCAGGUAGCAUAUGGGACUGGGAGAAGGACCUUCGAAAUUAGGCCUCAGAGAACACCAAUAGGUAACAUGGGACGACUAGGAGAAGGACCUUUGGAAUUUGGCCUCAGAGAACACCAAUAGGUAGCGUACCGGACUGGAAAAAGGACUUUCGAAAUUUGGUCUCGGAGAAAACCAAUAGCCAGCAAUUCUACGAAUUUUGUCACUUCAACACAGCCAGAACGACCAAGACCGUGUUGAACAAGAGAGAGACUGAUGUUCUGAGGCUGGAACAACAUAGAAGGGAUAGAUACAAGAUGACGCACCCCGAAAGUGUUAGCUUAGCUCAAUUGGUAGAGCCCUGGACCGGUAAUCCAGAAGAUGUGGGUUCGAUCCCUACAGCUGGCUAACCUUUUCAGUGACUUUCAUCUUUCAUCGUUGAAGACCGUGUUGUUGAGGCUCAUGGGAAAAUAUCUGUUUAUAAGUAUGCUAGGCCCAGUACAA